rfam:Homo sapiens chromosome 20, GRCh38 reference primary assembly.
GCCAGGCAUGGUGGCGCGUGCCUGUAGUCCCAACUACUCAGGAGGCUGAGGCAGGAGGAUCACCUGAGCCCAGGAAGUCAAGGCUGCAGUGAGCUAUGAUCGCAUCACUGCAUUCCAGCCUGGGUGACAGAGCGAGACCCUGUCUCAA